UACCAGCACCCCGAGUGGUCGGGACGUUUAUUGGGCCUAAAGCAUCCGUAGCCGGUUCUACAAGUCUUCCGUUAAAUCCAACUGCUUAACAGGUGGGCUGCGGGAGAUACUAUAGAGCUAGGAGGCGGGAGAGGCAAGCGGUACUCGAUGGGUAGGGGUAAAAUCCGUUGAUCCAUUGAAGACCACCAGUGGCGAAGGCGGCUUGCCAGAACGCGCUCGACGGUGAGGGAUGAAAGCUGGGGGAGCAAACCGG
rnacentral:rRNA from 1 species